rnacentral:misc_RNA from 1 species
GUUCGAUCAUGGCUCAGAUUGAACGCUGGCGGGAUGCUUUACACAUGCAAGUCGGGCAGCAGCACGGACUUCGGUCUGGUGAGUGGCGAACGGGUGAGUAAUGUAUCGGAACAUGCCCUAGUAGCGAGGGGAUAACUACGCGAAAGCGUAGCUAUUACCGCAUACGCCCUUCGAGGAAAGCGGGGGACCUUCGGGCCUCGCACUAUUAGAGCGGCCGAUAUCGGAUUAGCUAGUUGGUGGGGUAACGGCUCACCAAGGCGACGAUCCGUAGCUGGUU